CCCUACUCAACUUAAUAUAGAAGGCAAUUUGUAUGGCGUUUACGAAGAAAAUAACUCGCGACACUAAAGCAAAUCUCUUGACUCGUCAGAGCUCUUUAUUUAAACGAGAAAGACGAGGAGAUAGCCCACGUGUUAUCGCCAAUCGCUUGACUUGCCAGCGAGCUUUAUGCAAUAGAAGAGAAAGGCAAGGAGAUAGCCCACGUGUUAUCGUCAAUCGCUUGACUUGCCAGCGAGCUUUACGCAAUAGAAGAGAAAGGCAAGGAGAUAGCCCACGUGUUAUCGUCAAUCGCUUGACUUGCCAGCGAGCUUUACGCAAUAGAAGAGAAAGGCAAGGAGAUAGCCCACGUGUUAUCGCCAAUCGCUUGACUUGCCAGCGAGCUUUAUGCAAUGGAAGAAAAAGGCAAGGAGGUAGCCAGCGUGUCACCGUCACAGACUGGUGUAAAUAGCGAGCAACAUUUGACAUUUGAUAUAGUUAAUAUUAAGUUCUGUUAUGGUUUAUAUAGACAUUUAAGUGAUGACAUUUUUGAGUGACAUUAUAGGCGUUAGUUGUAUCAGUAUUUUGUAAGAGAGACACGCGAGAGUAAAGAGACGGUUUAAAGGACGGA